rnacentral:rRNA from 1 species
CCUACGGGAGGCAGCAGUGAGGAAUAUUGGUCAAUGGGCGCGAGCCUGAACCAGCCAAGUAGCGUGAAGGAUGACUGCCCUACGGGUUGUAAACUUCUUUUAUAAAGGAAUAAAGUGAGGCACGUGUGCCUUUUUGUAUGUACUUUAUGAAUAAGGAUCGGCUAACUCCGUGCCAGCAGCCGCGGUAAUACGGAGGAUCCGAGCGUUAUCCGGAUUUAUUGGGUUUAAAGGGAGCGUAGAUGGGUUGUUAAGUCAGUUGUGAAAGUUUGCGGCUCAACCGUAAAAGUGCAAUUGAUACUGGCAGCCUUGAGUGCAGUUGAGGUAGGCGGAAUGCGUGGUGUAGCGGUGAAAUGCAUAGAUAUCACGAAGAACUCCGAUUGCGAAGGCAGCUUACUAACCUGCCACUGACAUUGAUGCACGAAAGUGUGGGUAUCAAACAGGAUUAGAUACCCGGGUAGUC